GAUGAACGCUAGCUACAGGCUUAACACAUGCAAGUCGAGGGGCAGCAUUUUAGUUUGCUUGCAAACUGAAGAUGGCGACCGGCGCACGGGUGAGUAACACGUAUCCAACCUGCCGAUAACUCCGGAAUAGCCUUUCGAAAGAAAGAUUAAUACCGGAUAGUAUACGAAUAUCGCAUGAUAUUUUUAUUAAAGAAUUUCGGUUAUCGAUGGGGAUGCGUUCCAUUAGUUUGUUGGCGGGGUAACGGCCCACCAAGACUACGAUGGAUAGGGGUUCUGAGAGGAAGGUCCCCCACAUUGGAACUGGGACACGGUCCAAACUCCUACGGGAGGCAGCAGUGAGGAAUAUUGGUCAAUGGGCGAGAGCCUGAACCAGCCAAGUAGCGUGAAGGAUGAAGGCUCUAUGGGUCGUAAACUUCUUUUAUAUGGGAAUAAAGUUUUCCACGUGUGGAAUUUUGUAUGUACCAUAUGAAUAAGGAUCGGCUAACUCCGUGCCAGCAGCCGCGGUAAUACGGAGGAUCCGAGCGUUAUCCGGAUUUAUUGGGUUUAAAGGGAGCGUAGGUGGAUUGUUAAGUCAGUUGUGAAAGUUUGCGGCUCAACCGUAAAAUUGCAGUUGAAACUGGCAGUCUUGAGUACAGUAGAGGUGGGCGGAAUUCGUGGUGUAGCGGUGAAAUGCUUAGAUAUCACGAAGAACUCCGAUUGCGAAGGCAGCUCACUAGACUGUCACUGACACUGAU
rnacentral:rRNA from 1 species